AUUGAACGCUGGCGGCAGGCCUAACACAUGCAAGUCGAGCGGAUGAAGGGAGCUUGCUCCUGUCUUCAGCGGCGGACGGGCGAGUAAUGCCUAGGAAUCUGCCUGGUAUAGGGGGAUAACGUCCGGAAACGGGCGCUAAUACCGCAUACGUCCUGAGGGAGAAAGUGGGGGAUCUUCGGACCUCACGGUAUCAGAUGAGCCUAGGUCGGAUUAGCUAGUUGGUGGGGUAAAGGCCUACCAAGGCGACGAUCCGUAACUGGUCUGAGAGGGUGAUCGGUCACACUGGAACUGAGACACGGUCCAGACUCCUACGGGAGGCAGCAGUGGGGAAUAUUGGACAAUGGGCGAAAGCCUGAUCCAGUCAUGCCGCGUGUGUGAAGAAGGUCUUCGGAUUGUAAAGCACUUUAAGUAGGGAGGAAGGGCAGUAAGUUAAUACCUUGCUGUUUUGACGUUACCAACAGAAUAAGCACCGGCUAACUUCGUG
rnacentral:rRNA from 1 species